AGAGCGCCCGACUGUAGAGGAUACGCAGUUAUCGGGCGGUCCCUGGUUCGAUUCCGGGUGUUCGGAUAUCUUUUUAUUCUUUUUAG
rnacentral:tRNA from 1 species